UACAGAGGGGCAAGCGUUGUUCGGAAUUACUGGCGUAAAGGGCGCGUAGGCGGCCUCUUAAGUCGAACGUGAAAUCCCGGCUCAACCGGAACUGCGUCCGAUACUGGGGGCUUGAAUCCGGAGAGGGACGUGGAAUUCCAGGUGGUAGCGGUGAAAUGCGUAGAGUAUCAGGAGGAACACCUGUGGUGUAGACGGCUUCUGGACCAUAGCUGACGCUGAGACACGAAAGCGUGGGUAGCAAACAG
rnacentral:rRNA from 1 species